rnacentral:rRNA from 1 species
CCUACGGGUGGCAGCAGUGAGGAAUAUUGGUCAAUGGCCGCAGGGCUGAACCAGCCAAGUCGCGUGAGGGAUGACGGUCCUAUGGAUUGUAAACCUCUUUUGUCAGGGAGCAAAGCGCGCCACGUGUGGCGUUUUGCGAGUACCUUACGAAAAAGCAUCGGCUAACUCCGUGCCAGCAGCCGCGGUAAUACGGAGGAUGCGAGCGUUAUCCGGAUUUAUUGGGUUUAAAGGGUGCGUAGGCGGAAUAUCAAGUCAGCGGUAAAAAUUCGGGGCUCAACCCCGUCGUGCCGUUGAAACUGAUGUUCUAGAGUGGGCGAGAAGUAGGCGGAAUGCGUGGUGUAGCGGUGAAAUGCAUAGAUAUCACGCAGAACUCCGAUUGCGAAGGCAGCAUACCGGCGUACAACUGACGUUGAAGCACGAAAGCGUGGGUAUCGAACAGGAUUAGAUACCCUGGUAGUC